UUUCCUCUAAAAAAAAACUCUUAGCCAAAGAGUUCAGGUGAAAUUUCAAAAAUUCAAUAAUUAGAUUAAAUCCAUUUAUGUCUUUGUUCAAAAAUGUUGGAAGCAAAGCAGAACAAGCUCGUCCCCGUCCAAGUGUGAAUUUCGUUCAUAUUUCGCAGAAGCAGAUUCGUUUAAAUAGUUUUUGGAAUAAGUAUGUUAAGAUUCUUCUUUCUUUCUUUUGACAUGGUUCAUAUGAUACUGAAGAAACAAGCAAACA
rnacentral:lncRNA from 1 species